rnacentral:misc_RNA from 1 species
AAUAAAAAUUAUUUUUAAAUUAACAUUAUUUAUAUUAAAUAAUAAAAAUUAUAUAUUCUAAAUUUAUAGAUUAUCCCAUAAAUUUUUUAUAUAAAAAUAUAAAAAUUUUUAAAUAAAUGUUUUUAAUUUUUUUAUAUACAAAUUAAAUUUAUUUAAAAAAAAUAGAUAUAAAAUAAUUCGAUUAACAUCUAAUUUCUAAAUAUAUAUUAUAACUCUUUAUUCUACAAAAGCAUAAUUAAAUAUUUUGUUCUUCUUUUUUCGAGAUUAUUAAAUUUAUAAAUUAUAUUAAUUAACCCUGAUACAAAAGGAACAAAAAUUAUUCUACUUACUUAAUUUUUAAAAAAUUCAUUUACAGUACUUUAUCUAUUAAUCUAAAUAUUAUUUCAUAAUCUAUUACUUAAACAAAAAAUUCUUAUAUAAUUUUAAAUAAUUAUAAUAUUAAUUAAAUCUCAAAUAUUAAA